ACCAUCACAGAAUACUAUAAACACCUCUUUGCAAAUAAACUAGAAAAUCUAGAGGAAAUGGAUAAAUUCCUGCUCAACCCUACAUAAUAGUCAGGUAAUAGAUGUUAAGUGAUAACUUUAAAAGUCUUGAUUCUGAAGUCAAAAUGUCUACACCAAGAUUUAAUCUACACACUAGACUUUAUUCAAUGUCAGGUCUCCCCUCGCUCAUCUUGAGAGCUGCAGCCCUAAGGAAGGUGGUAGGUUCUUCUUUCUCCUACUGACGCUUCCCUCCCCACUGCCCCUGUGCCUGCCAAGUGUUUUCUGAUCAGGUCAGAGAAUGGCAUAGAAAGAGAAAAUGAAAGGCUUCAUAGACAAAUACUGAUCAGGGCUGACUUUGCACCCUGUGCCUGGCAUAUAAAUAAGGCUCACUCCUUCUCUUGUAGGUACUUCCUUUGUUCUCUGGUGUUUCUAUCACCAAAGACCAUUUGUGUUGUUGCCUUGAGCCUGAAUGGUGUACCCUAUUCCAAGUGGUAAAUCCUAGGAAUCUCAUGAUAAGCCUCAGCUCCUUACUGUUGAGUUUCUUCACUGUCUUAUGGGUGGCACCCAAAAUGGCCACAUGCCUGACCUUGCUCUCUCUCUAUUUCUGUGUAUCUCUUUAUCUCUUUAGGAAAUGAACCAUGCUCCAUGGGAAACAAACAAGCACCCCUUGACCCAACAAGUGUUGGGAUCACAAGCGGGAUCCAUCACGGCAGUCUACAACCUGUCACCAUCAUCAACUUUCUCAUCAUUAAGCACAACUCCUCCAUGUCUCUCAAAUGUAGGGGACAUGUUUCAAGCUCUCCAGCCACCCCAUGGAAGCCUCUCACUGGGCUCAUGAUGAAUGGGGUAACACCCAUCCCUACCCCUCACACCCUCUGGCAGGAGAUACUUAUGGCACUGCACUAGCUCUUCCCAAAGAAAACUUUUUUCAAAUACUCCCUUCUUCUCUGUUCUCCAUUUUUGCUUUAUUUGAAGCCAAUGAGAGGAGUUAAAAAUCAGCAACCACUUUACAAAAUAUCUCUUUGUAAAUUUUUCAAGUGGGGAUCUACCUGACAUUCACUUUGGCAUCUAAUUUCUCUUGUGUUCACACCCAGGUCAAAACUGUGGUAGGAAGAGACCUCUUUUAACAUCUGUAUCCUGCUGUUGAGAUUUUGAAGGACUCACUCCCCUCUAGUAUCUGGGCUACUUUCUAAUAUUAUCUCUCUUUACAAAUUAGAAAAUGAAGGCUCAGAGAGGUUAAGAAACUGUUCAACAUUCAUUAGAUUGAAGAGCUAUAAUUUGAUACCCAAGACUUCUGGAUUCUAAUCUAGGUGCUCUAAACCUCUUAGCUCUGAUGGCCCCUGGGCACCAAGUACUGCCUUUUGACUUGGAGAAAAGCUCAGUAGCAUAAACUUUCCCCACUAUUCUCAGGGCGAGCUGCGUCCCACAUGCCCAUCAGGCACUGACUGCCUGCUUUUCUCUUUGCUAGCAGGUAUCAACCAUAGUGUCCUAUGGCUGACUCAAUCCAAAAGUCUUCAAUACUUUGCUACUAAAAGGGUGGUCCAAAGGCCAGCAGGAGCACCUGAGAACUUCUUAGGAAUGUGUUAUGUCAGUGCCUCCCCACCAAUAUGCCCUAAGGGAAACUGCAUUUCAGUAAGGACAUGAAGAUUAAAGAAGCACCGUUCUACACCAUUGCUCCUAGGAGGCCUAAAGAAUCUUCUUGCACAUCUAUCCCCUGGUGUCUUCCCAGGUGUCCUUGAAAGGAGCUGCAGAUUAGUUAUUCCUUGGAAUCCUCGCCACGUCUAUUACUUUGUCAUUCAGAAUAUCAUAAUAUUAUAAUAUACCACUUUGUUAAUCUAACUUUUUGUUUAUACCCUUACAUAGCCUGUCAUCUUGAAGUAAUAUCCUCUGCUCUUUAUCCUGAAGACUACAAACCUAAUCUCUAAAUUAAAAAUAAAUUUCCAACUAGCUGAUUCGUAAUGUACCCCAGCAGAGUAGAGAACCAUUAAGAAAAAAGUCUGACCUAGCUAAGGCUAGAAAAUAAGUGGUUCACCCUUUAUCACUGCCUGCCCCCACCUUGCAUACUCACACCAGUGCAUGCCCACACACACUUCCUGAAACCACACACUCAUUUAUUAUAUGAGUCAAUAAGUAUUUGGUAAGCAGCUACUGAAUGCCAGACCCUGUGAUGGGAGUGAUAAAUUCAGUGAUGAAUCCCACAUAGAUUCUAUAGGAAGUUAAUAUCCUACUUGGGAGAAAAGACACAUAUGCAAAGGUUGAUCAUUUAAGGUAGAGUAUGAGACCUGCUGUAUACAUCCUCUUACAAUAGACUAUGCUUUGAUAACACAACCACAAGUUCUCAGUGACUUUCAACAAUUCUUCUGCAGUAAUAGUCCAUCAUGGGUGAGUUCCCCGUUGCCAUCAUUUCUGGACUCAGAGAGAAGAAACAGCCCUUUCUGAGACACUUCGUCCUCAAGGCAGCAGCACCGCAUGGAGCGGCACAGAAAGCUCUUGCACACAAGUGACCCACAUCACUUCUUCUCACAUUCCAUUUCACAGCCACAGGAGGUCACUGGCCAUGUCUGAUAUCAGUGGGGCACCAGAGAGGGGCUACCAGGAUUGGCACGUGGGGAGAGCAGCAAAUAUUUGGAAAUAUAAUGCAAUCCAUCACACCUCAUGACAGAGGUAUAGGUGAAGUGCUUUGGGGAUUUGGAAACGUGAAGAAUACCUCUAGCUGAAAAAAAGGAGACUUUCUGAAGGAGGUGAUGCCAACCUGGGCUUUGAAAUGUUGGCAGUGGCAGUGGGGAUGAGAAGUGUGGAAGAAGGAGGACUGGGAAAGCCUGCAGCCAUGGAAGCAAUGUCCUGGGAAAUAUUCUGCAUGGAGCAGAGGAAACUCACAGAAAUAAAGUUGAAAUAUAAUUAUAGAGGGCCUGAAGUUCUACCUAAAAUGUCAAAACUUCACUGUAGAAGCAAUGAGUGAGGAGCUAGGGCCGACAGUGACACGACAAGUGACAUGGAGAAAGUCAUGCUACAGAUAGAUUCAUUAGGUCUGAAAACAGUGCUUGCAAAAUAGCACUUGAGUUUAAGACCCCUAGUUUCUCUCUCUCUCUCUGUGUGUGUGUGUGUGUGUGUGUGUGUGUGUGUGUGUGUCUCUCUCUCUCUCUCUCUCUCUCUCCUGAUCAUUUUCUAAGACCAGCCCAAAUAUCUCCUCAUUUGUCUUUGAAGACUGAUCUAGCCCUGUCAUGAAAAAUUAACUGAUUAAUUGAUCAUUUUUCUUCAUAUCCACAGUCCUUUUACAUAUUAUCCUAAAUUUGUGUGUGUUUGUCUGUGUGUGUGUGUGCAUAUGAAUGUUUGUCCUUUAAAGAAAAAAGAGUUUUCAAACAUCAAAGUCUUGCUUUCUACAAUUUUGAAUUUUCCAUUACAGCUCAGAGCUACACACAGCUUUGUUUGUUGAAAAAACAGUUUGGAUGAAGAAAGACAGAGACUCCAUUUGAAGAUUAUUGCAACAGUCUAUCAAUAGAGUGACAUUUGGAAUGGAAAAGCCCAACAAAAUAUACUGAUUAAUAUUUAUAUAUUUAUGUAUGAAUACCUCUUUUACUUUCAGUAAAUUCUGAAGAGGUUUUUUAAUUUAUUUUUUUUCUUUUUUUGUCAUUGAAACAAUUUUUAAUAGUACAAAUGCAUGGCAUUGAGGUUUGGAACCUAAUACAGGUCUGACAGUCAAGUCCUUUUUUUCUGGAAGAAGGCUUCAAGUCCCAAUCAAUUGCCAGUAACAACGUUUUUAUGAAUCAAUGUAAUAAUAAGAGGUUUUAAUUUCCUUCAUAUUUUUGUUUUCAGCAUUGUAGUCUUAAAGAGUAGAUUAUAAUUUAGUUCAAUUCCCCAGAAGGCAAAUGGUUUUUCUUUUGCAGUAUGAAAGAAUCCACAAAAACACCUUGAAGAUGUUUAUUUUAUAUUUUGAUACACUACCCUUUGCAUUCCAAAGUUAACACUACAAAUGAAGCCAAAUAUGUCACACUUACCUAAGUCCAAACAUCCAUGCUUAGUCCAACAUUAACUGAAAAAUCCUGUGGAGGUGAAAUGCACUCCAGUGAAUAGAAACCACUUCUCACAGCAUGUCUUAUGCACAUGCACUGUAGGAUGGGGUCAGUGGGGAAGUUCAGAUAGGGAAGUCCCAAAUCCUAAAACCCAUUUUAAUAUCCACAAGGUGAAUUAACCAUAACCAUUUUCCUGCCUGAAAUUCCCAGUUGCCAUGAAUUGCUCACUAAUGAUAUUUCUCCAGGGUCUUCUGGAUUUUGCAGUUCUCUGCUUCAUUAGGGCCAGGAACUUGUUUGAGCCCAGAGAGAGCCUGUGUGGUGACAUUCAAGAGGAGAAGAUAAGCCUGGGCCCUUGGAAAGGAUGCUGGAGGAAGACAAGAACCAUAUUGAAUUUAGGGCCCAAGUAAAUCGAACACGACCUCAUCUUAACUUGAUGACUUCUGCAAAGACCCUAUUUCCAAAUAAGAUCACGUUUACAAGUUGCUGGUGGACAUGAAUUUGGGGAGAUGCGAUUCAACCCAGGGCAGUGGGUGUUCGAAGGAAGAACUGAAGAACAUGGAGUGAAUGUUUUUAUCCAAUGAAGCUGAGAGCCAGCCUCAUAAAAGGCUGGCACAUAACGGGCUGUAGAUCUGAAUUUGUGUGGUUAUGUGAGAAGGAAAAAGAAAAGUAAGAACUGAAUGCUUAUUCUCAACCACUGUCCUCAAAUUUAUUUCUAGGCUAUUUGUGUACAAGUGAAUUUUUGUCCUAUCUCAUUCAAAUGGACCUGAAGUCACAAAAGGUAGAAGGAUUUUAAUAUUCCUCAAGGAAAUCAACAUUCAUGAAGUACAUACUGGGUGCCUGGCACAGUUCUAGAUGCCGUGCACAAGUUACCUCAUUAAACUUCCUUAUCACAAGUAGCUGGUAUUUUCCCAAUAAUACAGGUAAGGAAACUAAGCCUGAGAAAAUGACUUCCUUUUUCCAUGGUUAGUUGUACACAUAUUUAACUAUUCUUCAUAUUCAAAUAGAAGUACAUAUAAAGCACUAAUGAGAUUUAUUCAUACCGUUUAAUGCAAAGCAUUAUCUAGAGUCACACUUUCUGUGGGUGAUGGUUCCUGUUAUUGUGAUUUAGUUCACACAUUAGUUAGGGCAGAAAUUCUCUUCCACUUCUUCAUGACCUCCAUGAAAUCUCAGUACACAAAGAGUACACAGACAGCAUCAAUGGUGAAAUAGCCCAUUGGCUUUUAUCAAUCCUCAAAUCAGAAUUCACACUUUAAUUCCAAGGAAACUGGAGAAAACCAUUGGAAAUUAUAAAGUCCAAUUCUAGCCUGAAAUCUGCCACAUAACAAUCAUGCCAUUUGGGAAACUCAAUUCUCUAGACCCCUCAUCUGUUAAACGAGGGUGCAGUGCUGAUGUCUCUCUAAAGACCCCUUCACUUGAUUGUUUUAUGAUAGUAAGCAGUUUCAAACCGCAUUAUCUUUUUUAAAGCUCCUAUGCAAAAAGCCAUAAUUGGCAAGAAAUACAUUUUAAUUCACUUUAAAUUCAAAUUCUUAUUUGACCACAACCUGAUUUCUUUCAGACCUGUGUUAAUUUGUGGGAAACUGUGGCACCGUAUUGAGAAUAGAUGAGAUACUAUAUUGCCCAAUGCCCUCUACCAAUUGCACACUUCUUUGCUGUCGAUGCUUCUGUUUCUCAAAUACUGUCUUUCUCGAUGUUAAAAAAUGUGAGCCUGUGUAUACCUGAGAAGAAGGUGCUUGCUGAAGUGUACUGUCUGCUCCUUGUGGGUAACGUUAUUCCCUCGGGCUGGCUGGGAGACCUCCUCCCCAUGGAGGAAAACCUUGGACCCACGUGUUUGGCAGAUGAUUAAAGCAAGCUCUGUUUAGAGGUUUUUCUUUUGACUCAGUAAAAUCAGAGAAAAGAGAAAGAACACACUAGUGACUUUCCUGUCUACAAGGACUUUUCAACUUUAAGAAUGUGGACAUGACGACUCCUGAAAACGAGCACUUUGGAUUCAUAUUGGUGAGCUGGCCAAUAAAUAGCGUGGCUGGAGGAUCUGCCUUUAACAAGGCUGCAUUUUAUUUGCAGUUCUUGGAUAGAUCUGCUUCUUAGAAGUAGGAUAAGAUUUUUACAAGGUCUGGGUUGCAAAGAGUAAGUUUUACCUUGCCUUCAGCAUCAUUUGGCUACCUAGAAAUUCCAGCAGAAAUUUACCAGAUUUAAAACGCAUGGAUGUAAAUAGUUCAAAUAGACUGACUUCCCAUCCACAAUUUUUGAAAAUAUCCCGUUAAUUUUUUUAAAAGGUAAAUUUAUGACUUUAUACAUUAGGUAACAAUUAUGUUAGUUUCGCAGACAGGUAUUUGGGGAAAUGUAUUGACCAAUUACUUUUAAAGUGUGUUUUUGUUUAGAAAUUAAAUUAUUUAAAAGAAGCCAGCCUGGGCCACAUAAUGAGACCCAAUCUCUACCUAAAAAAAAAUAAAAAAAUAAAAAAAUAAAAAUAAAAACAGGCAAGGUGGCAUGUGCCUGUAGUCCUAGCUACUAGGGAGGCUGAACUGGGAGUUGGGUGGAUCGUCUGAGCCCAGGAAUCCAAAGCUGCAGUGAGCUAUGAUCCCACCACUGCAGUCCAUGCUAGGUGACAGAGUGAGACCCUGUCUGUAAAUAAACAAAUACAUAUUUAAAAGACAGAAAUCAGCUUAUCUGUUUUGAGCCAGGUUUCUCAGGUGUCGGGAUGUGCUUGUCUCACGCACACACACACACACAUGCACACACAGAUCCAACAAUUAUAAGCAUUCAGGUUGGAAUAUUUGGAUUCAUACUGUGGUACACAAAGGCCCAUCUUUCAUGACCAGAGUGAGUCAGUUACAGAAACUGAUAACUUAAAAAACCCUGGUGUCUCAGAAGACACCAUGAACACCAUGAACAAUUAUGUAAGAGUAAGUUUUUAAUGUAAAAUCUGUAAGUAACAAUAAUAUGGUCAACUCUCUACAGACGAAUAACCAGUUAUAGGAAUUAAGGUAAUUUUUAAAACUAAAGAAAAUAGGGUGGCCACAAACUCCUUCUUGAAGAGAAGAAGAAUAUAGAGAGCAGGCCAGGAGCUAGGUAGUAAGGAAAGUGUUGGGAGGGUGGUCAGUUGGUGAAUUAUUAGUGUGCACUGGUUAGUAUUGUUAGACAUUGUCUGAGUGCCUACCCAGCCUCCUUGACACUGUCCCCUUGGCCAUCUGUCUUAAGAAGCUGGAUUUUCCAUUUUUCCUUGAAUUCUAAGGAAGGCUCUUGUAUCCUUCCAAAAAAAGUAUUUAAAAAAUAACUCACUGAAGCUGGUUUUCAAUACCUGCAAUGAAAAGAAAUCCACUCAUCCUGAAUGAGGUGCAGGAAGGGUUAGGGCUGCUAUAGUACUGUCUAGUGCCUCCUGAGUGGGAGCACCCCUCAGCCACUGUGACAGGCAGCUUACUCAUCGUGUUGGCCCUUGCCUUCCAGUAGGAGAAAGUCACUCUGUGGAAAGCUGAUUACUCCCAGAGAGGAUUUGUCAGUUGUGACACCUGUUUCCUGAAAAAUAAGCUUUUUCCUCAGUCAACACAGUCAGAGGGAAGAUAAGCGUUCCUCUUUCCUAAGCAUCUGCACUAGUGCAAACUUAAUGCCACCAAAUGUAAAAGGUCUUCUUCACUCAGUGCACUAAGUUCUCAUUUCGGUAACCACAUUAUACACAUAAUGGGCAGUUAAAAUCAGUGCCACUUGGAACUCAUUUGGAAUUUAUGGCUUCCCCCAACUCCUGUUUUCUGGAUUCAGAUUCAAUUUAUGGCUUGGAACGUAGUGUUUCCUACAGGAAAAACUUUGAAAUGUGCAAGAGAAAAAAGGGCUCUUGGAGAAUAUUAAAUAUCUCUUACAAAACACCAUGCUGAUGAGUAAAUGAGAGUGUAAAUGAAUCCAGAUAAAAAGUAUUGUGUUUCCAUUGAAAUACUCAGGGGCUUAAGAGUUAAGGGAAAAAGUUUUGUGGGGAAAUGUGUUUUAGGUUAUGCCAAAUGUAAAACGUGUGCAAAAGGGUUUGAGAUGUUUUUCCUAGAUUAAGAUGUCGCCAGAUUACCUCUUCUCAAUAAUUAGAAAAUUAGACAAGUACAAUUUAUGUGUAAAUUCAAUGCAAUUCAUGAGCAUGAAUAAUGAUCUCAAACUACCAUUAAGUACAGAAUCAUUGCAGAAUUGCCCUGGAGUAAAUUCCGGACUCAAAAGAGGUUGUGAAUUAGGCCAUGAAGAAAGAGAUGCAGGCGUUGACUUGCGGAUUUUGAUUUAGUUUUUAAUGUGGCUGUUAAAUUAUUUUGAAUUUAGUCAUUUUAAGAAUGUGGAUGGGAGAAUAAAACUAAAUAAUGAUUUUAAGUGGGCAUCCAGGACAAAUUUUUAUCCUUUAUAACUCUAGAAGGGGACAAAAGCAAUUGGAUUUUGUUAUAGUGCAAAACAAUUUGGAUGAUGUUGAGUCACAUGUGUGGAUCUACAACUGAUUGUGCCUCAUCUGUUGACACUAUCCAAUACAAUAAAUUCUUUGGUGUCUUGUUUUC